GGGAAGGUGGCUCAGUGGUAGAGCAUUUGCCUUGCAUGCUAGAGGCCCUGGGUUUGAUUCCUCAGCCCCA
rfam:Dipodomys ordii contig_60632, whole genome shotgun sequence.